AGGCUCUGACCAAUCACCUGGAAUUGGAGGACUGAAGAAGAAAGAAAUCUCUGGCAAAAGGAAGCUGUAAAUCGUAUUUCCUCUGGAGCGAAAAGACAGACCCGCUGCCCGAUUUUUUUACCCCCGCCCCAAGGUGCAGCUGGACAAGCAUCUUGACUGUCUUUGUUUGAGACAACACAGUGGUCCUGCCUCUCCCCGACAUGGAAGUUCUGCUGGGACCAUCAUGAUGGACACCAAGUGUUCUUGGAAAACGGCAGCAGAGUUUGGGGCUAUGGCUGAAAUUAAGAAAGGGUGCAGAGGAGGCCAGGAGCAAAUGUUUUAGAGAACAGAUGCUGAGAACAAAAGGCCAACCUGAAACCCAGACACCGAGGGACCCAGCCGCUCAGUAUGGACUUUGGGGCUCACUCGCUUUUCUGCUGUGGGUUCGACUGGCCUGAGCAGUAGCUAAAAACGAUUUCCAAACAGUCCUAACUGCUACGGUUGGAGGAAACGAGAAUGCGUGCAAAGGAAAAUCUAAUACUGCCUUUCGCCUCAAAUAGCCAAGUUCUUGUGUUUUACAACAUGUCCAUAAAGAAGAUAGUACCUACACUGUAAUUACUUGCCCACCAAAUCUGAAGGGAUGUGGUUUCUCCAGAGCUGGGAGCUGUUCUCCGGUGGGUAGGAGGAGUACCCUAAAGCAAAGCCUACCUCUUACGUUCUCAGGAUUAUAGAAUAUGACCUACGGUAUUUUCCUGACCAUAUGAUAGUGAAAAAGUCUUUUUCAAAAAUCCUUAACUUAAUAAAGUAUU